AACGCUUCUCAGCCUUUUGGCUAAGAUCAAGUGUAAAAAUAAUGUGAAAUUUCUUUCUGAUGACUGGAGAGUUUGUCACUAAUCUCAUAACUAAUUCUCUCCACUAAAAUCCCAUAUUUAUUUUAAAUAGAA
rnacentral:snRNA from 1 species